GGCUUAGUGGUCUAGUAGCAUGAUUCCUGCUUUGGGUCUGUUACUCAAUUGCAGGAGGUCCUGGGUUCAACUCCCAGCUGAGCCC